ACCACAACUUUUUUUUUUUGUGAACAGCUACAUUUAAUAUCUAAAAGGGCCUAGGCCCAUGUCAACCCAGAACUGGGCUUAAUGCAGAGAAAAUUCCAUGGAUGUCACACACGAUUCCAUGGAUUUCCUUCACCUGUAAAUCAUGAUCGAUAGCUCUAAUGAGCUUUAAGUUGUCGGAGAACAUCCUGAGAGUUGGGUUAUGAUGGCGAGUCGCAUUGCUAAAGCUUCCGCCAUUAGAGGAGAGUCUACGAAGCCUUGGGAGCUCGAUCCUUGGAGAGGACGAUUGAAUCCUCUUCCUGAGAAGAUCCAAGCGAGACCAGCCUGCUUCAAUUGUUUGUUCCACGCCACAAUCAGUUUUGCAUGUUGUUUCUGAUUCUUCGAUGUUCCUCGGUUCUUUGUCAGAUCCGGAUUAGACGAUUUUGCUUCGAAGAUCAAGGAGUUUCUGGCUACUACUGGAAGUAAUUUUUCAUUAAAAAAAAAUCUUAAUAGUUGUACAGAAACUUUAAAUAAAACUAUAGUACAAUUGCUUCAAA